rnacentral:rRNA from 3 species
AGAACGCAGCUAAUUGCGCGUCAACUUGUGAACUGCAGGACACAUGAACAUCGACAUUUCGAACGCACAUUGCGGUCCACGGAUACAAUUCCCGGACCACGCCUGGCUGAGGGUCGUU